AUUAGAUACCCUGGUAGUCCACGCAGUAAACGAUGAAUGUCAGCUGUCCGGGACUUCGGUCCUGGGUGGCACAGCGAAAGCGUUAAACAUUCCACCUGGGGAGUACGCCGGCAACGGUGAAACUCAAAGGAAUUGACGGGGGCCCGCACAAGCGGAGGAACAUGUGGUUUAAUUCGAUGAUACGCGAGGAACCUUACCCGGGCUCAAACGUGACUGGAAUGUCCGCGAAAGCGGGCAGCCCUUCGGGGCCGGUUACGAGGUGCUGCAUGGUUGUCGUCAGCUCGUGCCGUGAGGUGUCGGCUUAAGUGCCAUAACGAGCGCAACCCCUACCGACAGUUGCUAACAAGCGAAGUUGAGGACUCUGUCGGGACUGCCGGCGCAAGCUGCGAGGAAGGCGGGGAUGACGUCAAAUCAGCACGGCCCUUACGUCCGGGGCGACACACGUGUUACAAUGGCGGGUACAGCGGGAGGCCAUGCGGCGACGCAGAGCGGAACCCGAAAGCCUGUCUCAGUUCGGAUCGGAGUCUGCAACUCGACUCCGUGAAGCUGGAUUCGCUAGUAAUCGCGCAUCAGCCAUGGCGCGGUGAAUACGUUCCCGGGCCUUGUACACACCGCCCGUCACACCAUGGGAGUUUGUAACGCCCAAAGUCGGUGGCCUAACCUUUAUGGAGGGAGCCGCCUAAGGCGGGACAGAUGACUGGGGUGAAGUCGUAACAAGGUAUCAAGGGCGAAUUCGCG
rnacentral:rRNA from 1 species